GUGUGUUUACUUUCAUCUAUAAGCUCCCAUAAACCUGAAUUUAAAGGAGUUAAAAAAAUUCUUUUAAAUAGGUAUAUAGAUCGCUAUAUUAAGAUCAUGCAUGUGUCCCCAGACCUAGUUCUUUCCCUAGGUCUGGUUUUCUAAAUGCUGGUGAUAAAC